CCUCUCACACAACCGGCAAAGGUUACUUUCGAGAUGCGCUUUUUGGUGGAUGUGGAAGGAGAGAUGUAAAUGUAAUAUUUAAAUGUCAACACACAAACAAUGCUCAGCUAUUGAAAGAGAUUAUUAGAGACUCAAGAUCAUGUAUGGAGCAAGAUCUCAAAACGGAGCACUUUACCCAAAGAGAAAAAUAUAUUUUUAUCAGUUUUAAUUUUGCUAUUAGCUAAAGAUCUUGGGAAUGAUGCCAAAUUUUGAUAUAUCUGGAUAAAAAUUUUCUAUUUUGAUUAUAAUUAGGAGUUAUAGUCUACAACAUGUGUAGUCAUAACUAUCGCAUUCGCACUCUAUGAGUUACAUGGCUUUGUCUAUGACUUGUAUAGAUAAAGCUAUUUGUAGAAACUUUACACAUAAUCAAUUUACUUUUACUUACCAAAAAAAAAGUUGGGGGCUCAAAGACGAUCAGAUACCGUCCUAGUCUCAACCAUAAACGAUGCCGACCAGGGAUCGGCGAAUGUUGCUCUUAGGACUAUGCCGGCACCUUAUGAGAAAUCAAAGUCUUUGGGUUCCGGGGGGAGUAUGGUCGCAAGGCUGAAACUUAAAGGAAUUGACGGAAGGGCACCACCAGGAGUGGAGCCUGCAGCUUAAUUUGACAGACUGAGAGCUCUUUCUUGAUUCUAUGGGUGGUGGUGCAUGGCCUUUCUUAGUUGGUGGAGCGAUUUGUCUGGUUAAUUCCGAUAACGAACGAGACCUCAGCCUGCCAACUAGCUACGCGGAGGCAUCCCUCCGCGGCCAGCUUCUUAGAGGGACUAUGGCCGUUUAUGCCACGGAAGUUUGAGGCAAUAAUAGGUCUGUGAUGCCCUUAGAUGUUUUGGGUCGCACGCGCGCUACACUGAUGUAUUCAACGAGUCUAUAGCCUUGGCCGACAGGCCCGGGUAAUCUUUGAAAAUUUCAUCGUGAUGGGGAUAGAUCAUUGCAAUUGUUGGACUUCAACGAGGAAUUCCUAGUAAGCGUGAGUCAUCAGCUCGCGGUGACUACGUCCCUGCCCUUUGUACACACCGCCCGUCGCUCCUACCGAUUGAAUGGUCCGGUGAAGUGUUCGGAUCGAGGCGACGGGGGCGGUUCGCCGCCCGCGACGUCGCGAGAAGUCCACUAAACCUUAUCAUUUAGAGGAAGGAGAAGUCGUAACAAGGUUUCCGUAGGUGAACCUGCGGAAG
rnacentral:rRNA from 1 species